CACGUGAGCAACCUACCCUUGACACUGGGAUAACAGUUGGAAACAGCUGCUAAUACCGGAUACGAACUCAGCAGGCAUCUGCCGAGUUGGAAAGCUCCGACGGUCAAGGAUGGGCUCGCGGCCUAUCAGCUUGUUGGUGAGGUAACGGCUCACCAAGGCGACGACGGGUAGCCGGCCUGAGAGGGCGACCGGCCACACUGGGACUGAGAUACGGCCCAGACUCCUACGGGAGGCAGCAGUGGGGAAUAUUGCGCAAUGGGCGAAAGCCUGACGCAGCAACGCCGCGUGCGGGAUGACGGCCUUCGAGUUGUAAACCGCUUUCAGCAGGGACGAAACUGACGGUACCUGCAGAAGAAGCACCGGCUAACUACGUG
rnacentral:rRNA from 1 species